rnacentral:rRNA from 1 species
CGGACGGGUGGAGUAACGACGUAAGAAACUUAGUCCACUUUAGACUGGGAUAACAGAGGGAAACUUCUGAUAAUACUGGAUAAGUUAGUAUAUCGCAUGAUAUGCAAAUGAAAGCUACGGCACUAAAGGAGAGCUUUGCGUCCUAUUAGCUAGUUGGUAAGGUAAGAGCUUACCAAGGCGAUGAUAGGUAGCCGGCCUGAGAGGGUGGACGGCCACAAGGGGACUGAGAUACGGCCCUUACUCCUACGGGAGGCAGCAGAU